UCAAGGGACCAUAUGGGAUGCUGGGAAUUGAACCCGGGUCGGCUGCGUGCAAGGCAAUCGCCCUACCCGCUGUGCUAUUGCUCCAGCCCCACAGACUGAUUUUCAUCAGCCUCUCCCAGAUUUGCAGAGGAAUUGGUCCCCUCCAAAGAUGAAGCUACCUCCCUUUGGCUGAUUUCAGCUCAUCCUUGAAGUCUUGGCCUGGGGCCAUUUCUGGGAACUCUCGCUGACCACUCUAGGCGGGAGCUGCCAGCAAGACUGCCUUGGAGUUAAAUCCUUUAAUUAAAAUACCCCAGACUAAAACCUUUUGGUAGUGAAAGGAGGGCAGCCGCUGGGCCCGGAAGAAUGGCAGAGCUCAGGUUGUCCCCGCAGGAGGGCCUGCCAGGAGACAGAGGUGCCCCGCAGCCUCAGGUCA